rnacentral:rRNA from 1 species
UACGUAGGGGGCAAGCGUUGUCCGGAUUUAUUGGGCGUAAAGAGCGUGUAGGCGGCCAGACAAGUCUGCUGUGAAAACUCGAGGCUCAACCUCGAGAUGUCGGCGGAAACCGUCUGGCUAGAGUCCGGAAGAGGAGAGUGGAAUUCCUGGUGUAGCGGUGAAAUGCGCAGAUAUCAGGAAGAACACCUAUGGCGAAGGCAGCUCUCUGGGACGGUACUGACGCUGAGACGCGAAAGCGUGGGGAGCGAACAGG